AGUAAGGUCAGCUAAUAAAGCUAUCGGGCCCAUACCCCGAAAAUGUAGGCUCAUAACCUUCCCGUACUA
rnacentral:tRNA from 1 species